GGCAGGGUUAAUCCUAGAUGGACCUGGCACCCAAACCACUUCAUUAAGCUGAAGUGGUCUGGGUACCUAUAGUGGUCCUUUAACCCCUUAAGGACCAAACUUCUGGAAUAAAAGGGAAUCAUGACAUGUCACACAUGGCAUGUGUUCUUAAGGCCUAGGAUAAUCGGUGGUGGUCAACCGUACAUGAUUUCGAAGGGGAGAGAGACCAGUAAAUUGUGUUGGGGCACUCCUGAUCUGGAACAAGGCAAUGGGGAGAAAGACAUCCCGCUUCUUGGCACAUUUUAGCCAGAUGUAGCUUCAGUGUUUGGUUCAUUCGCUCAACUUUUCCUGAGCUUUGAGGCCUAUAGGCAAUGUGCAGUUUCCAUUUAAGAUUCAGGCUGGUGGAAAACUGAGGCUGGUGGCUAAUUCCUG